rnacentral:rRNA from 1 species
UACGUAGGGGGCAAGCGUUGUCCGGAUUUAUUGGGCGUAAAGAGCGUGUAGGCGGCCGCACAGGUCCGUUGUGAAAACUGGAGGCUUAACCUUCAGACGUCGAUGGAAACCGUGCGGCUAGAGUCCGGAAGAGGAGAAUGGAAUUCCUGGUGUAGCGGUGAAAUGCGCAGAUAUCAGGAAGAACACCCGUGGCUAAGGCGGUUCCCUAGUACGGUACUGACGCUGAGACGCGAAAGCGUGGGGAGCGAACAGG